GGUCACUGCCGGGGGGCGGAGGCGUCGUCACUCGACGUCGACGCCGCCGAGGCGGCGGGGAUGCCGGCUCAGUGUCCGGCAAUGACGG
rnacentral:tRNA from 1 species